rnacentral:rRNA from 1 species
GACGGAGGAGGCAAGCGUUAUCCGGCGUUAUUGGGCGUAAAGCGUCCGCCGGAGGCUUUCCAAGUCUGCUGUCAAAGCCCGAGGCUUAACCUCGGAUCGGCGGUGGAAACUGGAUCGCUAGAGUAAGUCAGGGGUAGGGGGAAUUCCCGGUGUAGCGGUGAAAAGCGUAGAGAUUGGGAAGAACACCGGUGGCGAAAGCGCUCUCCUGGACUGCAACUGACACUGAGUGACGAAAGCUAGGGGAGCGAAAGGG